UUGCAAGAGAGACAGCCAGAUAGUGCUCCCCUGGGUGCAAUUUCAGGAGAAGCCUCGCAUUCUGCACUUUCCGAUGUCUAUUUUAGCCGCACAGGCUUAAUGUUAUAACAGCCCCUUUUUUUGGUGCUGGAGUCACAAGCACACACAACACAAUCCUGGUAUAAAUGCUGCUGGGCACGAAUCACGAGUCUUUUCAUUUUGAACAAGCGGACAUGAUACGAGUGGAGUUGCCCGGUGAUUGAACAAGUGUCUAUGCAAUUAUUUUAUCACACCACACUCCGUGUGCCCAUCGAAGUCAGUCACCGAGUUAGAUCGGUUUGUAGUAGGAUGGGAACUGCUGGAGGUGCGCUAAGGCGUGUUCCCUCACAGUGCCAGCAGCGGGACAGGGCUAGAAACCCUCUCACAAGCUCUACAGCAACACAGUUAAAGCCUCCACAAGCACGGAGACCUCUACACGUCCUAGAUGAGGGACAAGCACUGAGGGCAUCCGGGAGUGCCCAUGAGCCCCUCGGCUCCCUCUCCCGGGCAGGUACGGGCGCGCUGCUGUGUUUUCUCGGCACAAGGAGGCACCGCUCUCCUGUAAUUCCCCAACCCAGAGCUCCUGUUUGCAGCCUUUCGGGCUCUUGAGCUACUGGGCUUUAAACUUCCCAUCUGGCCAGAGGAAGUCGGAUGGAGACAGCGGAGGAACCGAGAAGGGACCCCCCCACCCCUCCGCCGGCGCACCGGGCACAGGGGGGCGGCGCUGCCCAGCGUAGCCCCGUUCCCGGGGUUCAGCCCUGCGGCAAAGCACCACCGCGCCCAGCCAGCGACAAGCUCCCCCACGGGUGCCGUGUCGCGCAGCGCCCGUCCUCCCCAGGGCUCCUGCCAGGAGCCGCGCUCUACCCACUGUCGGAGGCUCCGGUGAUAAGCUGACAGCGACGCCGACACACGGGGCUGCGAACAUGAGGUAGGACCUCCCCGCUCCCCUCCACGCCCCGCUGCGGCAGGCGAGGCUGAAUAAAGAGAUGACGACCGUCCCCGGUGGAGAGGAGAGACGUGGGAGGAACGAGGGGAGGGGGCAGAAUACGGUGAGGACAGUUUCGGCUACGGGAAAGGGGGUUUAGGAGGAAGCCUUCUGCUGUCACCCGCGAUCGCCGUUAACAAGAGACUGGCUAGUGGUACCCGGGAUCGCAGAAAGCGCUUGUUCGAGAUCAUCUUUCCCCUGGACAUAAGGAAUAUCGGCAGGCAGCUGAUGCUGAGUAAGCGAAGUUGUAAUGCCGGGCGGAUGUGCAGAAAAAUCUAUGUCCACCUGGCGAAUUAACCAAAUCCUCAGCAAUGACUGCGCUGGCAGGGAGGGGACCUGGAUCCGCCAGCCCGUGGUGCCCACUGAGGACGGCUGGCGCGGCGCGACGUGGGCGACCCAUGCAGCCAGCGGGAGCUGCAUCCCCGCAGGAUAGCGGGGAGAAGCCGACGGGUGCAGCCACCCAGCUGCAGACCGACCACUGUCUCGGCAAGGGGUGGCAGCUCGGCUUUCAUCCUAACGCCAAAGAGAGUCCACGGCGGAUGGCACAGGAUCCACUUCAGGAAACAGCAGAGGAAAGUCGGGCUAGUUACAUCGGUGACAAAAUGUGUUCAUGCAGAUAAGUCAUACGGAAAACAAACAACAACAUAAAAACUGGGAUUCUCCAAGUCUCAAGUCCUCAGCUGUGGGGAGAGGACUGAAAAGUUGAUUUGCAAACAAAAUAAAUAAAAUCAUCUGAA